rnacentral:rRNA from 1 species
AUGCACGCUAGCGGCAGGCCUAAUACCUGCCAGUCGCACGGGAUCCAGAUCAACGCUUGCUUUGGUUUGGUGAGAGUGGCGCACGGGUGCGUAACGCGUGAGCAACCUACCCUUGUCAGGGGGAUAUCCCGGCGAAAGUCGGAUUAAUACCGAAUGACAUCAUUGAGAGGCAUCUUUCGAUGAUCAAAGAUUUAUCGGACAAGGAUGGGGUCGCGUGACAUUAGCUAGUUGGUAAGGUAACGGCUUACCAAGGCUACGAUGUCUAGGGGCUCUGAUAGGAGAAUCCCCCACACUGGUACUGAGACACAGACCAGACUCGUACGGGAGGCAGCAGUAAGGAAUAUUGGUCAAGGGACGGAAGUCUGACACAGCCAUGCCGCGUGCAGGAAGACGGCCCUAUGGGUUGUAAACUGCUUUUAUACGGGAACAAACGUCGGUACGUGUACCGGUCUGAGUGUACCGUAAGAAUAAGGAUCGGCUAACUCCGUG